rnacentral:rRNA from 1 species
GUAGGUGGCAAGCGUUGUCCGGAAUUAUUGGGCGUAAAGCGCGCGCAGGCGGUUCUUUAAGUCUGAUGUGAAAGCCCACGGCUCAACCGUGGAGGGUCAUUGGAAACUGGGGAACUUGAGUACAGAAGAGGAAAGCGGAAUUCCACGUGUAGCGGUGAAAUGCGUAGAGAUGUGGAGGAACACCAGUGGCGAAGGCGGCUUUCUGGUCUGUAACUGACGCUGAGGCGCGAAAGCGUGGGGAGCAAACAGGGAUUAGAUACCCUGGUAGUCCACGCCGUAAACGAUGAGUGCUAAGUGUUAGGGGGUUUCCCGCCCCUUAGUGCUGCAGCUAACGCAUUAAGCACUCCGCCUGGGGAGUACGGCCGCAAGGCUA